AUUGAACGCUGGCGGCAGGCCUAACACAUGCAAGUCGAGCGGCAGCGGAAAGUAGCUUGCUACUUUGCCGGCGAGCGGCGGACGGGUGAGUAAUGUCUGGGAAACUGCCUGAUGGAGGGGGAUAACUACUGGAAACGGUAGCUAAUACCGCAUAACGUCGCAAGACCAAAGAGGGGGACCUUCGGGCCUCUUGCCAUCAGAUGUGCCCAGAAGGGAUUAGCUAGUAGGUGGGGUAACGGCUCACCUAGGCGACGAUCCCUAGCUGGUCUGAGAGGAUGACCAGCCACACUGGAACUGAGACACGGUCCAGACUCCUACGGGAGGCAGCAGUGGGGAAUAUUGCACAAUGGGCGCAAGCCUGAUGCAGCCAUGCCGCGUGUAUGAAGAAGGCCUUCGGGUUGUAAAGUACUUUCAGCGGGGAGGAAGGCGAUAAGGUUAAUAACCAUGUCGAUUGACGUUACCCGCAGAAGAAGCACCGGCUAACUCCGUGCCAGCCGCCGCCGUAA
rnacentral:rRNA from 1 species